rnacentral:ncRNA from 19 species
ACUUAAAACGGAAGCAAUGAACUAUAGUCCACAAUUGGUCACUUGGAUUAUAGGGAGCGAGUAGUGAACCCACCCAACUUUCUU